rnacentral:rRNA from 1 species
CCUACGGGAGGCAGCAGUGAGGAAUAUUGGUCAAUGGACGAGAGUCUGAACCAGCCAAGUCGCGUGCAGGAUGACUGCCCUAUGGGUUGUAAACUUCUUUUGUAUGAGAAUAAACUGUUCCACGAGUGGGCUUUUGUAUGUACUAUAUGAAUAAGGAUAGGCUAACUCCGUGCCAGCAGCCGCGGUAAUACGGAGGAUCCGAGCGUUAUCCGGAUUUAUUGGGUUUAAAGGGGGCGUAGGUGGAUUGUUAAGUCAGUUGUGAAAGUUUGCGGCUCAACCGUCAAAUUGCAGUUGAUACUGGCAGUCUUGAGUACAGUAGAGGUAGGCGGAAUGCGUGGUGUAGCGGUGAAAUGCUUAGAUAGCACGAAGAACUCCGAUUGCGAAGGCAGCUUACUAAGCUACAACUGACACUGAGGCUCGAAAGUGUGGGGAUCAAACAGGAUUAGAUACCCGAGUAGUC